rnacentral:rRNA from 1 species
GUGGGGAAUUUUGGACAAUGGGCGCAAGCCUGAUCCAGCAAUGCCGCGUGCAGGAAGAAGGCCUUCGGGUUGUAAACUGCUUUUGUACGGAACGAAACGGCUCUGGUUAAUACCCGGGGCUAAUGACGGUACCGUAAGAAUAAGCACCGGCUAACUACGUGCCAGCAGCCGCGGUAAUACGUAGGGUGCAAGCGUUAAUCGGAAUUACUGGGCGUAAAGCGUGCGCAGGCGGUUUUGUAAGACAGGCGUGAAAUCCCCGGGCUCAACCUGGGAAUGGCGCUUGUGACUGCAAAGCUGGAGUGCGGCAGAGGGGGAUGGAAUUCCGCGUGUAGCAGUGAAAUGCGUAGAUAUGCGGAGGAACACCGAUGGCGAAGGCAAUCCCCUGGGCCUGCACUGACGCUCAUGCACGAAAGCGUGGGGAGCAAACAGGAUUAGAUACCCUAGUAGUCC